rnacentral:rRNA from 1 species
CACGUAGGAGGCGAGCGUUGUCCGGAAUCAUUGGGCGUAAAGAGCGCGCAGGCGGCUUGGCAAGUCGGGUGUGAAAUCCCGGGGCUCAACCCCGGGACUGCAUUCGAUACUGUCAGGCUAGAGGUAGGUAGGGGAGACUGGAAUUCCUGGUGUAGCGGUGAAAUGCGCAGAUAUCAGGAGGAACACCGGUGGCGAAGGCGGGUCUCUGGGCCGUAACUGACGCUGAGGAGCGAAAGCAUGGGGAGCGAACAGG